UCCCGGCAUUCUUUAUCAUAUUAGUUUAGUGUAAAGUUGAAUCUUUUAUAAAGUUAAUUAGUUAAAUUAAAACCUGUGAACAGUGUGUGAAAACUUGAUGUCUAACAAUCUAUACAAUGUGGUUCAGAGCAGUUAAGUGACUGCUGUUCCAGUUUAAUUGGUGAGAUCUGUUUACACCGCCCAGUCCAGAUCUAAGCUGCACAUUUGGUCAUGCUUCCUCUGCCUGGAAGUAUGUUAUGAUUAAAGACCUUUCAGUCACAAGACUGCUGCAUUUGUUAAGCUCACAAGAACUUAUUUGAUUUCAAAUUCAUAAGUGUGACUUCAAAGCAGGGUGCUACUAAUGUUGUGACGUACAGAGUAUCAGCCUGAGAACGGAGAGGGAGGCUGUUUUCAGGGGAUGGGGUUUUUUUUCCAUUAAAGAACACAACACAACUGUCUCAGUCACUCUGGUGUGUGAACGUGAAACACACAUGUAAUGGGUCACCAUAGACGAUCAUCUGCCUCCAUCUCACCCCUGUGCUAAGGAUAGGGUGAGACAGCGACUCUGCGGUUUCCUUUAAGACAAGUGUAAAUGUAAAAAGACUGACCAUAGUGGAGUUGGAGGCCUCGUCCCCGGCACAGACCAGCGUCCCGCCUCCGUCCGGACUCCUGAAGACGGCGUUCUUGGUGAGCAGUUUGCAGGACGAGCCGGCGUUGAACGUCUGCACCGGCUCGCAGGAACAGCUGGGCAGUUCACUCGAGUCCUGCUGAGGGGUUCGAGUUAGCGCCAUGAGGACACAGCGCAGAGAUGGAUUGGAGCGACCUGCAGGGGAGACGAUGGUUACUCAAAAGGGACUGAGGGGUCAGGGUCUUACCGGGCCUAUAUGUGACGAGACAGUGUCGACUCUCCGUCUCCACCUGGAUGUCGGUGCAGCCGGAGGUCUCCAGGGGCAGGACGUGGGGCCUGUAGGUGGCCUCGUUCACCUGCUCCCAG